rnacentral:rRNA from 1 species
UACGGGGGGAGCAAGCGUUGUUCGGAUUUACUGGGCGUAAAGGGCGCGUAGGCGGCGUGACAAGUCACUUGUGAAAUCUCCGGGCUUAACCCGGAGCGGCCAAGUGAUACUGUCAUGCUAGAGUGCAGAAGGGGCAAUCGGAAUUCUUGGUGUAGCGGUGAAAUGCGUAGAUAUCAAGAGGAACACCUGAGGUGAAGACGGGUUGCUGGGCUGACACUGACGCUGAUGCGCGAAAGCCAGGGGAGCAAACGGG